rnacentral:rRNA from 1 species
GAUGAACGCUGGCGGCGUGCUUAACACAUGCAAGUCGAACGGAAAGGCGAUGAUUUUGCGGGGUGCUCGAGUGGCGAACGGGUGAGUAACACGUGAGUAACCUGCACUUGAAUUUGGGAUAACUUCAGGAAACUCGGGCUCAUACCGGAUAGGAGAUCCUGCUGCACGGUGGGGGUUGGAAAGUUUCGGCGGUUGGGGAUGGACUGGAGGCUUAUCAGCUAGUUGGGCGGGUAGUGGCUUACCAAGCCUUAGACGGGUAGUCGGCCUGGGAGGGUGACCAGGGACAAGGGUACUAAGGGACGGCCCAGACGCCAACGUUAGGCAGCAGUGGGGAGUAUGACACAAUGAGCGGAAGCCUGAGACGGCAGCGCCGCGUGCGGGAAGACGGCCUUCGGGUUAUAAACCGCUUUCGCCUGAGACGAAGCGUGAGUGACGGUAAUGGGUAAAGAAGCACCGGCUAACUACGUG